rnacentral:pre_miRNA from 1 species
UGUACCUGGUGUGAUUAUAAAGCAACGAGACUGAUUUGUCAUGUGUCGUUUGUGGGAUCCGUCUCAGUUACUUUAUAGCCAUACCUCGUAUCUUA